AAUACCGAUUGCGAAGGCGAUCUACUGGAACAUUAUUGACGCUCAGAUGCGAAAGCGUGGGGAGCAAACAGGAUUAGAUACCCUGGUAGUCCACGCCCUAAACGAUGUACACUAGUUGUUGCUAUACUAGAUAUGGCAGUAAUGCAGUUAACACUUUAAGUGUACCGCCUGGGGAGUACGGUCGCAAGAUUAAAACUCAAAGGAAUAGACGGGGACCCGCACAAGCGGUGGAGCAUGUGGUUUAAUUCGACGAUACGCGAAAAACCUUACCUGGCCUUGACAUAGUAGGAACUUUCUAGAGAUAGAUUGGUGCUAGCUUGCUAGAACCUACAUACAGGUGCUGCACGGCUGUCGUCAGCUCGUGUCGUGAGAUGUUGGGUUAAGUCCCGCAACGAGCGCAACCCACGUGAUUAGUUGCUAACGGUUCGGCCGAGAACUCUAAUCAGACUGCCUUCGUAAGGAGGAGGAAGGUGUGGACGACGUCAAGUCAUCAUGGCCCUUACGGCCAGGGCUACACACGUGCUACAAUGGGAUAUACAAAGAGCCGCAAUACCGCGAGGUGGAGCAAAUCUAGAAAAUAUCUCCCAGUUCGGAUUGUUCUCUGCAACUCGAGAACAUGAAGUUGGAAUCGCUAGUAAUCGUAGAUCAGCAUUGCUACGGUGAAUACGUUCCCGGGUCUUGUACUCACCGCCCGUCACACCAUGGGAGUUGAUUUCAUUCGAAGCGGGGAUGCUAAAG
rnacentral:rRNA from 1 species